rnacentral:tRNA from 1 species
GAGGGUAUGGCUCAGUGGUAGAGUGCAUGUUUAGCAUGAAUGAGGUCCUGGGUUCAAUUCUCAGUACCUCCA